UACGGAGGGUGCGAGCGUUGUCCGGAAUCACUGGGCGUAAAGGGCGAGUAGGCGGCCUGAUAAGUAGGGGGUGAAAUCCUGCGGCUUAACCGCAGGGCUGCCUUCUAAACUGUCAGGCUAGAGCACAGUAGAGGCAGGUGGAAUUCCCGGUGUAGCGGUGGAAUGCGUAGAGAUCGGGAAGAACAUCAGUGGCGAAGGCGGCCUGCUGGGCUGUUGCUGACGCUGAGGCGCGACAGCGUGGGGAGCAAACAGG
rnacentral:rRNA from 1 species